rnacentral:rRNA from 1 species
CGGAAGUCGAGGUGCUGCAUGGCUGUCGUCAGUCUCGUGCCGUGAGGUGUUCGGUUAAGUCCGGUAACGAGCGCAACCCCUGCCCUUAGUUACCAGCGGGUAAUGCCGGGAACUCUAAGGGGACUGCCUUGGUUAACGAGGAGGAAGUGGGGACGACGUCAAGUCAUCACGGCCUUUAUGUCCAGGGCCACACACGUGCUACAAUGGCCGGCACAAAGGGUUGCCAACCCGCGAGGGGGAGCCAAUCCAUAAAGCUGGUCUCAGUUCAGAUUGCAGGCUGCAACCCGCCUGCAUGAAGAUGGAGUUGCUAGUAACCGCAGGUCAGCUAUACUGCGGUCGAAUACGUUCCCGGGCCUU